GACGAACGCUGGCGGCGUGCCUAAUACAUGCAAGUAGAACGCACAGUUUAUACCGUAGCUUGCUACACCAUAAACUGUGAGUUGCGAACGGGUGAGUAACGCGUAGGUAACCUGCCUGGUAGCGGGGGAUAACUAUUGGAAACGAUAGCUAAUACCGCAUAAUAUUAAUUAUUGCAUGAUAAUUGAUUGAAAGAUGCAAUUGCAUCACUACCAGAUGGACCUGCGUUGUAUUAGCUAGUAGGUGAGGUAACGGCUCACCUAGGCGACGAUACAUAGCCGACCUGAGAGGGUGAUCGGCCACACUGGGACUGAGACACGGCCCAGACUCCUACGGGAGGCAGCAGUAGGGAAUCUUCGGCAAUGGACGAAAGUCUGACAGAGCAACGCCGCGUGAGUGAAGAAGGUUUUCGGAUCGUAAAGCUCUGUUGUAAGAGAAGAACGGGUGUGAGAGUGGAAAGUUCACACUGUGACGGUAUCUUACCAGAAAGGGACGGCUAACUACGUG
rnacentral:rRNA from 1 species